UUUUGACUUCCAUGUGCAACUCCUUAGUGCCAACCUUACAAGGAGUAUCUUGUUUUUCUUCCAAGGGUAACUCCUUAUGCGUAUCUUCAUGAUGAAUAACUUGCCUCUUUUGUACCAUAGACGUAACCUUUUCAAACAUCCGCAAGAAAUCAUCAAAAUCUUCCCUCAACGUUGUAAAAGAUUCUCUUAACUCUACUACUUCAUGGCUUAGUGUUCCUCCCCCUCUACCUUCAACCUCAUCACCAUACGGAGAACAAGAAACAUUGGAACUAGGAUGAGAAGAAUAAGUUAGCAUAUUUCAAGAAGUAGGGAAUGUACUUCUUCUAUGGUCCACACGGCGACUUUGAAAUGGUCCCACCCAAACAUCUAUGCCUUCUUUCUUAGGAUAGGAAGUAGCACAAGACAAGGUAGUAAAUUCAACCUCAC
rnacentral:lncRNA from 1 species